AGUAUGCUCCUCUUCUAGUCUUGGUCAUCCCCCUGUAGCAGUCUCAAUAAUCCUUUAUUCCCCGCCCCUGCUGAGUCAAAGUUAGAGACUUCAAAAUUGGUAUUGCUAUUCGUUUACUACCCAAAGAAACCUAAAGAGAAAGAGCAAAGACAAGUUGGCUUUGAAAAAGACUAGAUGAAUCUUCAUCCUAUCUAGUAACUGUUCCAAAAAUGACUCAGCAUAUGUUUUAAAUGAUAUAUGUGGGGUAAUUAACGUCAAUGAGACAGCAACUUACCAAAUUUGGCCAAGACACAUAGUAACUAAGUUAACAUACUGUCUUCAACAAUACAAAUAUGGAGAUCUGAUAUGAUUGCCAAUAAGACAAACUCUUCAUCAAAUCCACAUGUCAGAGAUUGAUGCAGGGUCUUUAACAAUGGAGCAAUGACCUAACAUAUCAUAUUCAAAUCACAUUUACAUAUAAACAUCAGAUGUGGUAUGAUUGCCAUUGGUACAAGUAUGUUGCUGGUGUUAGAUAUCCAUCCUAUUGUCCAUCUUUACAUAUGAAGUAGACUUGAUUUAGGUGCUUCUUAGGGAAAACAGAGGAUCUUGCAUUGUACUUUUACUUCACAUUCCCCAAUUUAGGCAUUUCUUAUUUCAAAAUUCAAAAUUACUUUUUUUUUUUUUUUAUUAUUGGUUUUCAUUUAUAUAAAGAUAAUUCAAAGUUUGUUGACAUUAUUGAUUCCUUCUGUAAUUCAUAUAUAGCUAGUUGUAAGGAGCAUCCGAUAUAGGAAGACUGGCCAAUAUCUUGACCUAAGCCUGGGGGUCGUUGGUGAGGUCAGUUGGGAACUAUAAAAAAUUACAACAAAGGAGACUUCUUUUUUUCUGUUUGUGAACCUUAACUAUUAUUAUGUAGCAAUAAUCCAGGUAUACUUGAAUAUAUGGAUUUUGUAUCUCCAUGUUGAUUAUUCCACUCUUAGCAUGUGCUGUACUUGUUUCCUUAAUAAAUUUUCUCCACAAGAGACCAAAAUAAAUAGACAACAGUAGUAUAUAUACCGCAUAAAUCGAUUGAGAGAAAAAUAAACAAAUCUGGGAAACAAACUAAAACCAAGGGAAAUACAUCAACUAUCAGAGGAAAACAACAGAACAACAGAAACACUGAAGUGCUACAAAAAUAAACGGUUAGGGAACAUACAUAGAAACAUCAAAAAUAAACGGUAAGGGAACAUACAUAGAAACAACAAAAAUAAACGGUAAGGGAACAUACAUAGAAACAUCAAAAAUAAACGGUAAGGGAACAUACAUAGAAACAACAAAAAGGGAACAUACAUAGAAACAUCAAAAAUAAACGGUAAGGGAACAUACAUAGAAACAACAAAAAUAAACGGUAAGGUAACAUACAUAGAAACAACAAAAAUGACAUAUGCAUUCCAACUAUAAGUUACUGUAUGGCCAUAAUUGUAGAGUCUGCUAAAAAAAGGCCCAAAAAAUGACAAAUACCGUGACUUCACAUUAUGUUAUAAAACAAGUACACAAUACCGAAUAUUACAUAACACCCAUCAAGUUUAAAUUUUGUUGGCAACACUUUUACUUUUUUGGAAUUGUGCCCCUUAAUAUGAAAGCAAAGGUAUCAAUGUACAUGAACUUUUAAGUUUUCUAUAUGUUUUUUAAAUUAAAAACAUUGAUAUUUUAAUUAUCUAUAGCUUUGUAAAAACAAAACCUAAAAAAAGAUAAAAUGACAAGAAAUAAUAUCAAAACAAAAUUGUAAACAGAGUUCAAGAUAAUAAACAUUAAAGUGGUGUUUUAAGUGGACAUAUUUUAAAUUUUGGAAUAAUUACCCAAAAAUGUGAAUAUCUUCAAUAAUAAAGAAGAAUUGGAAGGGUACUAAUUAUAAAUCCUCAUAACAAAAAAGACACUGCCAUGUACAGAGAUCUUAAGAGUACAAGCUGUAAGUAGUUGCUGACAGGUAGUUCAAAGACAAUAACAACUAAUAAAAAAAUAUGCAUCUAGGACUCAAAUAUCAAUCAGUACAAAUAUACACCAAUGGAUUUAGUCAUUGGAGAAAACCAUGACCUUGUGCAAGUUCAUUUCUUUGUAUGGUUUAUUCAUGAUUAACCAAAAUUCUAGAAAUAAAAAAAAUAUUCAAAUAUUAAAUCGUUUUUGUUGUAGCACAUGUCAAAUUAAUUCCUGUCAGACAAAUGGCUCGUGCAAAUGAAUUUGGGCCAGGGAAUCCCAUGGAAAAAAAAAAUCAGUAGUGAAAGUGUUCCGCCGUUUGAUACUUCACUGACAAAAAUAUAAAUUCAUAAAGAAAAAAAUAUUAUUUUUUAAAUGAUUACAGGCAGUCGAGACAUUUUGUCGCAAAGUGGCUGUCACGAAAAAAAGGAUGAAAAUUCAGAGUUUACCUUGGGCUAGAUAUAGUUAAUGUGAAUUCAGGUCACUGAUUGGUCAUCUAGGAUCUCCUGUAGUUGGUGAUCGCAAUACUGGUAUAAAAAAUUUGUACCAGUAUUGUAACUUUAAAAAAAAAAACAGCAAUACUGGUACAUUACUGAUAUACCAGUAUUGUAGUUGUAUUGUUGACUAUACUUUAAGGUGUAUGAUGAAACUGAAUUUUAAGCAAAAUUAGAAGAUCAAAGGGAGAUUAAAUGAACUCAAAAAGAUUAUAGAGGAUAAUUGUGAAAUCAAUUAACAAC
rnacentral:lncRNA from 1 species